AUGAAAUUAUAACUGGAAAUAUAUAUUUUUUCUCUCAUAUGUUUUGGGGUUAUUGUUGUGGCAAUUAUAGUUUCAGUGGAAUAUCAAAAAAGAAGUAAAAUAUGCGGAUUGUAUGACCAUCAACCCUGACAUGGGGACAAACUGUUCACAAAUUUGCAUGGCCGACCCAGGUCCUUCCAUCUAAUCGCCGUGAUAUCGACGUAUAGGAUUUCAAAUAUUUACACUUGUCAACGAAAACUGAUUGCCUCUGUUCUCACUGUCGGCAGGGGUAAACACCAUUUGGGGUCUGCCUUGAUACUGAGUACAAACAUGCGCAGUUGCAUCCGAUAGUUUGCUUCCGGUCAGACGGUGACCUAUUUUACUCAGGAACCAAGCACCUUUCGUUGUUGGUGGUCACGUCUACGGCGCCGUGUAUUCAGCGCAUGAUUGAUGUUGAGAAUUAAAUGGAUAGUGGAUAAUCGUAUCGUCUGCCCAUCUCUUCAGCUGAGUAUUCCGAGGCAACCCGCUCGACCGAGAGAAAUGGGAAAACGCACAAAUUCUGAUGCUGUUUGUCUUCUGUUAGUGCGGAGUCCGCGCCUUUUAAUAUCUCUCAUUCUAGUUCGGUCUCGUGCCGUACAUGAUCGGAGCGACUCCAAUAAAUCUUGUCAUUGCCCCGUGUAAUAGGAAAAGCCGAUUUGUGUAAAUAAAGCUGAUUGAAAUAAAA